rnacentral:rRNA from 1 species
UACGUAGGGAGCAAGCGUUGUCCGGAUUCACUGGGUGUAAAGGGUGCGCAGGCGGAUUUGUUAGUCAGAGGUGAAAUCUCACGGCUUAACCGUGAAACUGCCUUUGAUACUGCAGAUCUUGAGUUUGGGAGAGGUUGAUGGAAUUCCAGGUGUAGCGGUGAAAUGCGUAGAUAUCUGGAAGAACACCAGUGGCGAAGGCGGUCAACUGGCCCAUAACUGACGCUCAGGCACGAAAGCGUGGGGAGCGAACAGG